CAAGUCGAACGAGAAAGGGGAGCAAUCCCCGAGUACAGUGGCGUACGGGUGAGUAACACGUGGAUGAUCUAUCUCUUAGUGGGGAAUAACCCUGGGAAACCGGGGAUAAUACCGCAUAAGCUCGAGAGAGGAAAGCAGCAAUGCGCUGAGAGAGGAGUCCGCGGCCGAUUAGCUAGUUGGCAGGGUAAAAGCCUACCAAGGCAGAGAUCGGUAGCCGGCCUGAGAGGGCACACGGCCACACUGGCACUGAAACACGGGCCAGACUCCUACGGGAGGCAGCAGUGGGGAAUCUUGCACAAUGGGGGCAACCCUGAUGCAGCGACGCCGCGUGAGCGAUGAAGCCCUUCGGGGUGUAAAGCUCUUUCGGCAGGGAAGAUAAUGACGGUACCUGCAGAAGCAGCUGCGGCUAACUACGUGCCAGCAGCCGCGGUAAUACGUAGGCAGCGAGCGUUGUUCGGAGUUACUGGGCGUAAAGGGUGUGUAGGCGGUUGUUUAAGUUUGGUGUGAAAUCUCCCGGCUCAACUGGGAGGGUGCGCCGAAUACUGAAUGACUUCGAGUACGGGAGAGGUGAGUGGAAUUCCUGGUGUAGCGGUGAAAUGCGUAGAUAUCAGGAGGAACACCGGUGGUGUAGACGGCUCACUGGACCGUAACUGACGCUGAGACACGAAAGCGUGGGUAGCAAACAGGAUUAGAUACCCUGGUAGUCCACGCCCUAAACGAUGCAUAUUUGGUGUGGGCAGUUCAUUCUGUCCGUGCCGGAGCUAACGCGUUAAAUAUGCCGCCUGGGGAGUACAGUCGCAAGGCUGAAACUCAAAGGAAUUGACGGGGGCCCGCACAAGCGGUGG
rnacentral:rRNA from 1 species